UACAGAAGCAUAGAUUUCCACACACCAAGAUGAGUUUGUGCAAAUCUGUCGCAUCUGUAGG
rfam:Caenorhabditis tropicalis strain JT1373 unplaced genomic scaffold Scaffold31, whole genome shotgun sequence.